rnacentral:rRNA from 1 species
CAGCAUCCGCGGGAAUACAGAGGGUGCGAGCGUUAAUCGGAUUUACUGGGCGUAAAGCGUGCGUAGGCGGCUUCUUAAGUCGGAUGUGAAAUCCCUGAGCUUAACUUAGGAAUUGCAUUCGAUACUGGGAAGCUAGAGUAUGGGAGAGGAUGGUAGAAUUCCAGGUGUAGCGGUGAAAUGCGUAGAGAUCUGGAGGAAUACCGAUGGCGAAGGCAGCCAUCUGGCCUAAUACUGACGCUGAGGUACGAAAGCAUGGGGAGCAAACAGGAUUAGAUACCCGGGUAGUCCCUGUCUCUUAUAC